CGACGUCGGUUCCUCCUCCUGUCUGCAGGCUGACAGGAGGAUUUUACGACGUCGCAGAGAAACUCGGCUCUCUUUCACCCGGGAAGCUCGCGGCUCCGGCCGACACCACACCGGCUUCCCGGUUUUGCGGGACCCAACAGAC